rnacentral:lncRNA from 1 species
GGGGCAGGAGGGGCCGGAGCCGCCCCCGGGCUGCGAAGUCUCCGCAGCCCCGGAAAUCCCCGGGGGCGGGACCGGCACGAAACGGAGCCCGGGAGGGACGGACGGACACGAGGAGGGACAGACGGACACGGGAGGGACACGGGAGGGGACAGAGGGACACGGGAGGGACACGGGAGGGACACGGGAGGGACAGAAGGACGGACGGACGGACGGACGGAGGGACCGCGGGGCGCGGAGCGCGCUCAGAGCCCACCCAGAGACCCCGAACGGGACGGACCCGGAAGAGCCGCGAGGGAACCGGAACGGAGAGACCGAACCGAGCCCGAACCGAGCCCGAACCGAGCCUGAACCGACCCCGAACCGAGCCUGAACCGAGCCUGAACCGAGCCCGAAACGAGCCCGAACCGACCCCGAACCGAGCCUGAACCGACCUAGCCCGGAGAACCGGACCGGAGCCUUCCCGGUGCUCCCGGAGAACCGAACCGACCCCGAACCGACCCCUCCCGGAGAGACCGAACUGAACCUGAACCGACCCUUCCCGGACAUCCCGAACCGACCCCUCCCGGUGCUCCCGGAGAGACCGAACCGACCCAUCCCGGUGCUCCCGGGAGCCUGAACCGACCUAUCCCGGAGAGACCGAACCGACCCCGGACCGACCCUUCCCGGACAUCCCGAACCGACCCCUCCCGGUGCUCCCGGAGAGCCUGAACUGACCCAUCCCGGAGAGACCGAACCGAACCUGAACCGACCCCGAACCGAGCCUGAACCGAACCUUCCCGGAGAACCCGAACCGCCCUAUCCCGGAGAACCGAACCGACCCCUCCCGGUGCUCCCGGACAUCCCGAACUGACCCUGAACCGACCCUUCCCGGACAUCCCGAACCGACCUAUCCCGGAGAACCGAACCGACCCCUCCCGGUGCUCCCGGAGAGCGUGAACCGAACCGGACCGGAGCCUUCCCGGUGCUCCCGGAGAGCCAGAACCGACCCCUCCCGGUGCUCCCGGCGCAUCCCGGUACAUCCCGGAGCAUCCCGACCCCUCCCGGUGCUCCCGGUGCUCCCCCCGGGAUGGAGCCCCCGGCUCUGCUGGCGCUGGCCCUGGGCACCCUGGGCGUCAUCGCAGGUGAGGAUGAGGAGGCAAAAACCCCGAACCUGGGUGGGGGUGACGACCCCCGGGACCCCCUUUGGGUGUGGGAACCACCGCAAAACCGGGAAUUUUAAUUCAUCACCACCAAAUCCAUGAAAAUUAAAAAUUCC